CCUACGGGAGGCAGCAGUGAGGAAUAUUGGUCAAUGGGCGCGAGCCUGAACCAGCCAAGUAGCGUGAAGGAUGACUGCCCUACGGGUUGUAAACUUCUUUUAUAAAGGAAUAAAGUGAGGCACGUGUGCCUUUUUGUAUGUACUUUAUGAAUAAGGAUCGGCUAACUCCGUGCCAGCAGCCGCGGUAAUACGGAGGAUCCGAGCGCUAUCCGGAUUUACUGGGUGUAAAGGGCGUGCAGCCGGAGAGACAAGUCAGAUGUGAAAUCCACGGGCUCAACCCGUGAACUGCAUUUGAAACUGUUUCCCUUGAGUGUCGGAGAGGUAAUCGGAAUUCCUUGUGUAGCGGUGAAAUGCAUAGAUAUCACGCAGAACCCCGAUUGCGAAGGCAGCAUACCGGUGCACAACUGACGCUCAGGCACGAAAGCGUGGGUAUCGAACAGGAUUAGAUACCCGUGUAGUC
rnacentral:rRNA from 1 species